UACGUAGGGGGCGAGCGUUGUCCGGAAUUACUGGGCGUAAAGCGAGCGCAGGUGGUUUAAUAAGUCUGAUGUAAAAGGCAGUGGCUCAACCAGUGUGUGCAUUGGAAACUGUUAGACUUGAGUGCAGUAGAGGAGAGUGGAAUUCCAUGUGUAGCGGUGAAAUGCGUAGAUAUAUGGAGGAACACCGGUGGCGAAAGCGGCUCUCUGGACUGUAACUGACACUGAGGCUCGAAAGCGUGGGUAGCAAACAGG
rnacentral:rRNA from 1 species